GACGAACGCUGGCGGCGUGCUUAACACAUGCAAGUCGAACGGAAAGGCCCUGCUUUUGUGGGGUGCUCGAGUGGCGAACGGGUGAGUAACAAGUGAGUAACCUGCCCUUGACUUUGGGAUAACUUCAGGAAACUGGGGCUAAUACCGGAUAGGAGCUCCUGCUGCAUGGUGGGGGUUGGAAAGUUUCGGCGGUUGGGGAUGGACUCGCGGCUUAUCAGCUUGUUGGUGGGGUAGUGGCUUACCAAGGCUUUGACGGGUAGCCGGCCUGAGAGGGUGACCGGCCACAUUGGGGCUGAGAUACGGCCCAGACUCCUACGGGAGGCAGCAGUGGGGAAUAUUGCACAAUGGGCGGAAGCCUGAUGCAGCAACGCCGCGUGCGGGAUGACGGCCUUCGGGUUGUAAACCGCUUUCGCCUGUGACGAAGCGUGAGUGACGGUAAUGGGUAAAGAAGCACCGGCUAACUACGUG
rnacentral:rRNA from 1 species